AUGGUGCAAAUACAUUCCGUGCUUUUAACCCAACUCAAGCCGAAGAAACUUAUUCAAUGGUCACCGCUAACCGCUUUUGGUCCCAAAUCUUUGGGGUUUCUUUUUCCAAUAAAUGUUGGUUACAUUUCUUUACGUUAUUUGUACCAGUAACCGGUUUCUGGAUGAGUGCUAUUGGAGUAGUCGGUCUAGCCCUGAACCUACGUGCCUAUGACUUCGUUUCUCAGGAAAUUCGCGCAGCGGAAGAUCCUGAAUUUGAGACUUUUCUUUACGUUAUUUGUACCAGUAACCGGUUUCUGGAUGAGUGCUAUUGGAGUAGUCGGUCUAGCCCUGAACCUACGUGCCUAUGACUUCGUUUCUCAGGAAAUUCGCGCAGCGGAAGAUCCUGAAUUUUAGACUUUUUACACCAAAAAUAUUCUCUUAAACGAAGGUAUUCACGCUUGGAUGGCAGCUCAAGAGCGG
rnacentral:lncRNA from 1 species